rnacentral:lncRNA from 1 species
CUAAGGGAUAAUAUAAGUUGGGAGUGAAAGAAAUAUCCUAUACUAGCAUCAACUCACUGUAAGUUUAUUCUCCCUCAUUUACCAACAGAAGAGCUACAGAAUAUAGAGAGCUGAGUAUUUAACAAUAUAUUUCAACACUCUUUCCAAAGGCCUUCUCCAUUUUUAAAUCCUCAGUGCAAUAGGAGACUCAAAAUAUAUGUUUCACUUCCAAAGCUCUAAUUGUCUUUCCUAUUGACCUUCCCAAAGCUGAGCUGCGCAGUGGCUACCACUGUGCAGUACUCUUAUACAAGACAUGAACUCCUUCCCAACACUCACAUCAGGUGACUCUCAGGGGAUCGGAUGCCCUCUGGUCUCCACAAGCAUUUGCAUUCCAUUUUGAUUCACGUGUACCUACCUCACACAAUUAUGCACACAUACAUAUCAAUAAAAAUAAAUCUUAAAAGGAAGAGGAGAAAGGAAAAAGAGACAAUGGCAUUUCCCGCUGUUGGGAAGGAUAGAGAAAUUCACAUUUUCCUAAAAUUUUUAAAGAUUUAUUUUAUGUGUGAUUAUCUCUGUACCACAUACAUGGAGUGCCCACAGAGGCUAGAAGAGGGUAUUGAAUUCUCUGAAAGAAGUUACAGUUGUGAGCUGCCAUGUGGGUCCUGGGAAUCAAACUCAGGUCUUCUGGAAGAGCAUCCAGUGUUCUUAACCACUGAGCCAUCUCUCCAUCCCCUCUGACCUCUAGACAGUGCCACUUUGAAGCCCAUCUGAAAACCAGAGGCUGAGUGAGCUUUGCAUUGUUGAUGGUACCAA